ensembl:snRNA U6 U6 spliceosomal RNA
GUCCUUCAGUAGCACAUAUAUUGAAAUUGUAAUAACACAAUGAAGAUAAGCAUGAUCCCUGAACAAGAGUGACACGAAAAUUUCUGAAGUGUUCCAUAUUUUU